rnacentral:rRNA from 1 species
UACGUAGGGCGCGAGCGUUGUCCGGAAUUAUUGGGCGUAAAGAGCUCGUAGGCGGCUUGUCACGUCGGAUGUGAAAGCCCUCGGCUUAACUGAGGAAGUGCACCCGAAACUGAGUAGCUAGAGUACCAAAGAGGGUCGCGGAAUUCCCGGUGUAGAGGUGAAAUUCGUAGAUAUCGGGAGGAACACCGGUGGCGAAGGCGGCGACCUGGGUGGAUACUGACGCUGAGGCGCGAAAGCGUGGGGAGCAAACAGG